rnacentral:lncRNA from 1 species
GGUUGCGUAGCUAGGUGAGGCCAAGGUCACAGAGCCAUCGAUUGAAUAGUUGUUGGGCUAUUAGAAAGUGGGUUUAGGCCUAAAUCAACCGAUUAGAAAGUGGGUUUAGGUCUAAAUCAACCCCACAAAAUCGGUUUGUAUGGCGAGAUUUGCACCUCACUUAUAUAUUAUAAUUUGGCCUUAUCUCUAGUCGAUGUGGGACUUCCAACACCCCCC